UACGGGGGGGGCAAGCGUUGUUCGGAAUUACUGGGCGUAAAGGGCUCGUAGGUGGCCAACUAAGUCAGACGUGAAAUCCCUCGGCUCAACCGGGGAACUGCGUCUGAUACUGGAUGGCUUGAAUCCGGGAGAGGGAUGCGGAAUUCCAGGUGUAGCGGUGAAAUGCGCAGAUAUCAGGAGGAACACCGGUGGCGAAGGCGGAUCUCUGGGCCUUACCUGACGCUCAGGUGCGAAAGCUAGGGGAGCGAACAGG
rnacentral:rRNA from 1 species